rnacentral:rRNA from 1 species
CUAAGAAUAUUCCGCAAUGGACGGAAGUCUGACGGAGCGACGCCGCGUGGAUGAAGAAGGCUGAAAAGUUGUAAAAUCCUUUUGUUGAUGAAGAAUAAGGGUGAGAGGGAAUGCUCAUCUGAUGACGGUAAUCGACGAAUAAGCCCCGGCUAAUUACGUGCCAGCAGCCGCGGUAACACGUAAGGGGCGAGCGUUGUUCGGAAUUAUUGAGCGUAAAGGGCAUGUAGGCGGUUAUGUAAGCCUGAUGUGAAAUCCUGGGGCUUAACCCUAGAAUAGCAUUGGGUACUGUGUAACUUGAAUUACGGAAGGGAAACUGGAAUUCCAAGUGUAGGGGUGGAAUCUGUAGAUAUUUGGAAGAACACCGGUGGCGAAGGCGGGUUUCUGGCCGAUAAUUGACGCUGAGAUGCGAAAGUGUGGGGAUCGAACAGGAUUAGAUACCCUGGUAGUCCACACCGUAAACGAUGUACACUAGGUGUUGGGGCAAGAGCUUCAGUGCCAAAGCAAACGCGAUAAGUGUACCGCCUGGGGAGUAUGCCCGCAAGGGUG